UUGUAAUAUUAUUCCCUUAUCAAAAAUAUACCUGGAGUGUUGCUUUGAUUCUUUCAUGGAUGUUUGAGAAAUCUUUUAAGCUCCCGUGGCAACCAGUAAGCUGCAAUUUUCAAGUUCA